rnacentral:rRNA from 1 species
AUUGAACGCUGGCGGCAGGCCUAACACAUGCAAGUCGAACGGUAACAGGGAUCAGCUUGCUGAUUCGCUGACGAGUGGCGGACGGGUGAGUAAUGUCUGGGAAACUGCCUGAUGGAGGGGGAUAACUACUGGAAACGGUAGCUAAUACCGCAUAACGUCGCAAGCCCAAAGAGGGGGACCUUCGGGCCUCUUGCCAUCGGAUGUGCCCAGAUGGGAUUAGCUAGUAGGUGGGGUAACGGCUCACCUAGGCGACGAUCCCUAGCUGGUCUGAGAGGAUGACCCGCCACACGGGAACUGAGACACGGUCCAGACUCCUACGGGAGGCAGCAGUGGGGAAUAUUGCACAAUGGGCGCAAGCCUGAUGCAGCCAUGCCGCGUGUAUGAAGAAGGCCUUCGGGUUGUAAAGUACUUUCAGCGGGGAGGAAGGGAGUAAAGUUAAUACCUUUGCUCAUUGACGUUACCCGCAGAAGAAGCACCGGCUAACUCCGUG